AUUUGAUUCAGGCUUGGACAUAAGAAUGUCUACCCUUGAUUAUCACGCAUAUGAAUGCACCUUUGCUUCACAAUGCAUCAUUCACGCUUGAAUUGAUAAUUGAAGAUGGAGAUAGGAGGAUAAUCAUCACGCUUCCCACCAUAAUCAUUAUGAGGAACUCUUUUAGUUCUUGAUUGAACAUGUUCCUCAAAAUAAUAAGAGCAAAACAUAGAAGUUUCUUCAAGAAUGUAUGCUUCACAAAUAGAACCUUCAACAUGAGCCUUAUUCUUUACCUUUCUCUUUAAUGUGUAUAAAAACCUUUCAAAUAGAUACAUCCACUUAUAUUGUACAGGGCUACCAAUUAUAGCUUCAUAACUCAAGUGAACAUUAAAUGCUCCAUGACAUAAAAAAAAUCUAGAUGAAAUAUCUUCUCAAGUUUGCACAAAAUAA